AGUAAGAUGCCUGAUUAAAGGAUUACCAUGAUAGGGUAAGUAAAGUAUUUUUUAUACUCUUGCUA
rnacentral:tRNA from 1 species